ACGACCUUACUUGAACAGGAUCUGUUCUAUAGGCUCGUACCGUUGCAUCCUUUACCAAUAAGGAGGCAAGCACUUCAGUCUGGUUGAUGCUUUCUGACCUCUGGGCCAGAGCGUGAUUAACGGCCAGGAUCGCCUGAUGGGUGCCAUCUGAUGACGGCUGUAGAGGAUUGUUCCCGCCUGCAGGGUGGCCUAGAGGUUGUCUGACAGACU
rfam:Triticum aestivum genome assembly, contig: Triticum_aestivum_CS42_TGACv1_scaffold_543381_6DS